rnacentral:rRNA from 1 species
UACGGGGGGGGCAAGCGUUGUUCGGAAUUACUGGGCGUAAAGGGCUCGUAGGCGGCCAACUAAGUCAGACGUGAAAUCCCCAGGCUCAACCUGGGGACUGCGUCUGAUACUGGAUGGCUUGAAUCCGGGAGAGGGAUGCAGAAUUCCAGGUGUAGCGGUGAAAUGCGUAGAUAUCUGGAGGAAUACCGGUGGCGAAGGCGGCAUCCUGGACCGGCAUUGACGCUGAGGAGCGAAAGCCAGGGGAGCAAACGGG